AGCUUUUUGAAUCCGCGCAGAGAUUUCGUCAAACACCAAAGUAUUAGGGCUGAUCGGACUUCCAAGAUAGGUGAAGUU
rnacentral:pre_miRNA from 1 species